rnacentral:miRNA from 1 species
AGGACCACGAUUUUUCGGCCACGG